CGGACGCUGGCGGCAGGCUUACACAUGCAAGUCGAACGCCCCGCAAGGGGAGUGGCAGACGGGUGAGUAACGCGUGGGAACAUACCCUUUCCUGCGGAAUAGCUCCGGGAAACUGGAAUUAAUACCGCAUACGCCCUACGGGGGAAAGAUUUAUCGGGGAAGGAUUGGCCCGCGUUGGAUUAGCUAGUUGGUGGGGUAAAGGCCUACCAAGGCGACGAUCCAUAGCUGGUCUGAGAGGAUGAUCAGCCACAUUGGGACUGAGACACGGCCCAAACUCCUACGGGAGGCAGCAGUGGGGAAUAUUGGACAAUGGGCGCAAGCCUGAUCCAGCCAUGCCGCGUGAGUGAUGAAGGCCUUAGGGUUGUAAAGCUCUUUCACCGGAGAAGAUAAUGACGGUAUCCGGAGAAGAAGCCCCGGCUAACUUCGUGCCAGCAGCCGCGGUAAUACGAAGGGGGCUAGCGUUGUUCGGAAUUACUGGGCGUAAAGCGCACGUAGGCGGAUAUUUAAGUCAGGGGUGAAAUCCCAGAGCUCAACUCUGGAACUGCCUUUGAUACUGGGUAUCUUGAGUAUGGAAGAGGUAAGUGGAAUUCCGAGUGUAGAGGUGAAAUUCGUAGAUAUUCGGAGGAACACCAGUGGCGAAGGCGGCUUACUGGUCCAUUACUGACGCUGAGGUGCGA
rnacentral:rRNA from 1 species